ACACACAUUUGCAGUUUGUAGAGAAAACUAAGUUAGACCCCUCAAACAAUGUAACCAUUUCUAUUCUUUUUUUUUUCGUGAAAAAACCUCCGAAUUUCUUCUGUUUUUCUCUUAAGAUUCAUGUUUUCCCAAAAGGGUCAUUUCUCAAAAUUCAUGCUGAUUAAUGUACAAGAAUGUACAAAGAAGGGAAGAAAUAGUGAAAAAUUAAAGGAGAGAGAUAAGGAAAUUUUGAUUAGAUCUUUCUUGAAGGAUAAAAGUAGAGGAAGAAGAAGAAGAUAAAUAUUUUUAGUCUUCUUUUUUUUUUUCCCCUCUCUCUCUCUUUCGGCAGCAUGGUUUAGCUUCUGCUCUGAUAUUUCUUUCUUCCUUCAUUUGCUGCUUUAUGGAGGAGAAUGGAGAUGGAUAAAAUUCGUUAGUGUUGCUUUCAGAAUGUGAAAAACGAGGAGGAGUGGCUACUUCUUGGCUUGAAGCUAGCUGUUAUCAUUGAUCAGUACUGAUCAUUUAUGAUGAUCACGGAUGAUAAUAAGACAUUCAAGAAGAGGCCUCUCAUGACUCUCAUUACAGUCACAUUGUAAUAAGUACGCUGCUUAUGUUUAAAGAGCUUCACAAUGUCCAUUCCUCCCCUUCCCCUUUUCUUUCGGUGCUCCUGACUUUUUCUGACACUUGAUGACAGAGAAAGAGAGAGGCCAGCAACGAAAAUGACAUGACUUGCAAUGAAAAAGAGAGAUAUCAGAUCAAGUGUUUUUUUUCUUGGCUGUUUGACUGUCUCAAUUUGUUAAGUGGGCUAAUAAUAACUUCAAUUGAUUCCAAUUUCUUGAAAUAUCUGCCUUUGAUUCAUCGUUUUGUGGUCUUGCUCACCAUAUAUAAGACCACAUAUAUAUGCUCCUAAAGGGGCUUCAACAAAAGAGAUAUCUUAUGAUGAAAUCGCAGUUCAAAAAGGGAAGGAAACAAAGCAGUUGUAAAUUGCAGCCAUGAUUUUCUUUUGGCAGCUCUCUUCUCAUAUUCUUGGCUAAAGAAAGCUAGCCAACAGUAAUGAAGAUCUUCCACAGUAAAGAAAAUAGCCCACAACUAGGUAAUGAUCUGCAACAAAUGAUCAUUUAUGCUUCAGUGGGCACAGAAGAAGCCAUCCAUCCAUCUCCCCCACCACCUCAAAGAAAACAACACUCACAUAGGAAGUGAAGAAGGUUAACUUGUAUGCUCUGCUGACUCCUUCGAUUGAUCUUCUUCCUCCGCCACCGACUGUCCCAAACUCCCAAUUUCCACUUCCGUCACUGCCAUUGCUGCUACCGCUAGCUGCAUCUCGAGUUUCUUCACUUCCUCCCACUUCAGCCACAGUCAUCGGUGCUACUGCUAGCUGCAUAUCCACCGCUUCCGCCAUCUCCACUUCAGCAACCUCCAAGCCGCGCAAGAAUCUGAGUGCGCAACCCACUGCCGGAGGCUGACUGACGGACGAGGAACUGGAAGGUGAUCCACAGUGCCAAGAAUCUGAGUGCACAACCUCCCAAUCUGAUUGCGCAACCUCCUUUAGCAACCACCACUUCCGCACUUCCGCCAGCUCCGCUUCAGCUCCGCAACCGCAAGUGCCAACUCGACUAGCACUUUACUUUCCCUCUUUUCUUGCACCAGGCUGACUGACGGACUCUCCAAAGUCCGAACCCAACCAGCUUCCCGGCUCAUCCCCAUCUCCGGGCUUUGUCCCCAGCUUCCCUAGAUUUUGCAGAAAUUGAAGGAUAAACAAGAGAUUGUGUUGCCUAUUUCUUGACUUUGGAGAUGUUUGAGGUUGGUUCGUAGAUCCAUUGCUGGCAUUAGGGAAGAUUACAAAGGUAACCUACUGAGACUGAAGGGAUGUGUCUUUUCAAAUAUGUGCUGAGACAAUUGCUAAAUAUAUUCCUGAUCAGUGAAGUUAUCAUAAUUUGUAUUAAUGGAUUUUUGUGGACAUUUGGAUAAUUUGUAUUAGUGGAUAAUUUUUGGAUAAUUUGUAUUAGUGGACAUUUGGACAUUUA